rnacentral:rRNA from 1 species
UACGGAGGGUGCAAACGUUGCUCGGAAUCAUUGGGCGUAAAGCGCACGUAGGCGGCCUGUUAAGUCGGGUGUGAAAGCCCUGGGCUCAACCCAGGAAGUGCACUCGAAACUGGCAGGCUUGAAUAUGGAAGAGGGUCGCGGAAUUCCCGGUGUAGAGGUGAAAUGCGUAGAUAUCAGGAGGAACACCGGUGGCGAAAGCGCUCAUCUGGCCCAAUACUGACGCUGAAGCACGAAAGCUAGGGGAGCAA